rnacentral:rRNA from 1 species
AGCGAACGUUUGCGGCGGGCCUAACACAUGCAAGUCGAACGCACUAGCAAUAGUGAGUGGCGCACGGGUGCGUAACACGUGGGUAAUCAACCCUUCAGCCUGGGAUAACGACUCGAAAGGGUCGCUAAUACCGGAUACGGCGCGAGAGGCUUCGGCUUCUCACGAGAAAGCCACGCAAGGGGCACUGAAGGACGAGCCUGCGGCCCAUCAGCUAGUUGGUGAGGUAAGAGCUCACCAAGGCUAAGACGGGUAGCUGGUCUGAGAGGAUGAUCAGCCACACUGGAACUGAGACACGGUCCAGACUCCUACGGGAGGCAGCAGUGGGGAAUAUUGCGCAAUGGGCGAAAGCCUGACGCAGCCACGCCGCGUGAGCGAUGAAGGCCUCGGGUCGUAAGCUCUGUGGGAGGAGACGAAGAAAGACCUGUGAAGAGCAGGCCUUGACGGUAGUCUCCUUA